rnacentral:lncRNA from 10 species
GAGUACUCAAUGAUUCUAGUUGAAAGAAAGAAAAAAGGAAGGAAGAAAGGAGGAAGAGGCAGGCACAAGACAAAAUGAAUCUCUCCGCUGUGCACAUGGAGCCUUAGCUCUGAUUCCAGUUGAGCAAAAUUAUGAAGAAGAUGAUUCCCCAUAUGGAUGACAGAUAAACACCCUGUGGCGAGUCACUCACUCCCGAAAGGCCCUCUGAAGGAUCGCGCAUGUCCUGACUGCACAGCCUGCUCCUGACAAUGCUCUCAAAGCCACGGUUGUAAUAGAAAUUGGAAAAUCAAAGCAGAUCCAUGUGGCCUCAGCAUAACGAAAACAAGGAAUAAAUGGAUGUUACUACUACUAGUACUGCUUCUGCUGCCAAGUUUUUGAGCACAUAACCAGGAUGACAACCACAGUUCCACAAAG